CACGUAGGGUGCGAGCGUUGUCCGGAAUUAUUGGGCGUAAAGAGCUCGUAGGCGGUCUGUCGCGUCGGCUGUGAAAACUCGGGGCUCAACCCCGAGCCUGCAGUCGAUACGGGCAGACUAGAGUGCUGUAGGGGAGACUGGAAUUCCUGGUGUAGCGGUGAAAUGCGUAGAUAUCUGGAGGAACACCGGUGGCGAAGGCGGCAUCCUGGACCGGUAUUGACGCUGAGGCGCGAAAGCUAGGGGAGCAAACGGG
rnacentral:rRNA from 1 species